rnacentral:rRNA from 1 species
CCUACGGGAGGCAGCAGUGGGGAAUAUUGGGCAAUGGGCGCAAGCCUGACCCAGCAACGCCGCGUGAAGGAAGAAGGCUUUCGGGUUGUAAACUUCUUUUAAGAGGGAAGAGCAGAAGACGGUACCUCUUGCAUAAUCCACGUCUAACCAGGUGCCAGCAGCCGCGGUAAUACGUAGGUGGCAAGCGUUGUCCGGAUUUACUGGGGGUAAAGGGCGUGCAGCCGGGAAGACAGGUCAGAUGUGAAAGCCCGCGGCUCAACCCCCGGACUGCUGUGGAAACUGUAGGGCUGGAGUGCAGGAGGGGUAAGUGGAAUUCCUAGUGUAGCGGUGAAAUGCGUAGAUAUUAGGAGGAACACCAGUGGCGAAGGCGGGUUACUGGACUGUAACUGACGUUGAGGCUCGAAAGCGUGGGGAGCAAACAGGAUUAGAUACCCCGGUAGUC